rnacentral:rRNA from 1 species
UACGUAGGGUGCGAGCGUUAAUCGGAAUUACUGGGCGUAAAGCGUGCGCAGGCGGUUAUUUAAGUCAGGUGUGAAAGCCCUGGGCUUAACCUAGGAAUUGCGCUUGAGACUGGAUAGCUUGGAGUGCGGCAGAGGGAGGUGGAAUUCCACGUGUAGCAGUGAAAUGCGUAGAUAUCGGAAGGAACACCAGUGGCGAAGGCGGCUACCUGGACUUAAACUGACACUGAGGCGCGAAAGCGUGGGUAGCAAACAGG